UACGGGGGGGCAAGCGUUGUUCGGAAUUCCUGGGCGUAAAGGGCGCGUCGGCGGCCCUGGUAAGUCUGCGGUGAAAGCCCGGGGCUCAACCCCGGGUCGGCCGCGGGUACUGCCGGGCUGGAGUGCCGUAGGGGCAGGCGGAAUUCCGGGUGUAGCGGUGGAAUGCGUAGAGAUCCGGAAGAACACCGGUGGCGAAGGCGGCCUGCUGGGCGGCGACUGACGCUGAGGCGCGACAGCGUGGGGAGCAAACAGG
rnacentral:rRNA from 1 species